rnacentral:rRNA from 1 species
UCUGGUUGAUCCUGCCAGUAGUCAUAUGCUUGUCUUAAAGAUUAAGCCAUGCAUGUCUAAGUAUAAAUAGUAUACAGUGAAACUGCGAAUGGCUUAUUAAAACAGUUAUAGUUUACUUGAUAAUCGAAUUUUAUAUGGAUAACCGUAAUAUUUUUAGAGCUAAUACUUGCUGUCAAACCUGACUUUUUGGAAAGGUUGUAUUUAUUAGAUACUAAACCAGCAGCUUCGGCUUCUGUGAUGAUUCAUAAUAACUGAUCGGAGUAAAGCUAGUCUUUACUAAAUCAUUCAAGUUUCUGACCUAUCACUUUGUUGUUAGUGUAUUGGACUAACAAGAGGAUUACGGGUACGAGGAAUUAGGGUUUGAUAUCGAAGAGGGAGCCUGAGAAACGGCUACCACUUCUAAGGAAGGCAGCAGGCGCGUAAAUUACCCAAUUCCAACUCGGAGAGGUAGUGACAAGAAAUAAUAACUCGGAUAGCUCACGCUGUUAUGAGAUUAAAAUGAGAACAAUUUAAAAAUCUUAUCGAGGAGCAAUGAGAGGACAAGUCUGGUGCCAGCACCCGCGGUAAUUCCAGCUCUUAUAGUGUAUAUUAAAGUUGUUGCAGUUAAAAAGCUCGUAGUCUAAUAUCUAGCGGCGCGCGCGCCGGCUCACUGCCAGCGCGUUGCGAGGCUAUCUGUUCGAGAACUUCUUCUACCUUAACUGGUCGGAGAUGCUGAUCGGACUCUUUCCUGAGAAAAAAUUAGAGUGUUUAAAGCAGGCUAAUGCAAUGAAUAUUACAGCUUGGAAUAAUAGAAUAAGACUGGAGUGUCUUUUGUUGGUUAUGAACUUUAGUAAUGGUUAACAUAAACAGUCGGGGGUAUUAGUAUUUAAGUGUCAGAGGUGAAAUUCUAUGACUACUUAAAGACUAACUUAUGCGAAAGCAUUUACCAAGGAUGUUUUCAUUGAUCAAGAACGAAAGUUAGGGGAUCAAAGACGAUCAGAUACCGUCCUAGUCUUAACUAUAAACGAUUCCGACCAAGGAUCGGGGGGGUCUGCUAAGCCUUCCCGGCACUUUAUGAGAAAUCAAAGUCUUUGGGUUCUGGGGGAAGUACGGACACAAGUCUGAGACUUAAAGGAAUUGACGGAAGGGCACACAAGGUGUGGAGACUGCGGCUUAAUUUGACCCAACACGGGGAAACUUACUAGAGCAAGACUAAGGUUGGAUUGACAGAAUGAGAGCUCUUUCUUGAUUCUUAGGGUGGUGGUGCAUGGCCGUUCUUAGUUGGUGGAGUGAUUUGUCUGGUUAAUUCCGUUAACGAACGAGACUUUAACCUGCUAAACUAGGAGCCGGAAUACUC